rnacentral:rRNA from 1 species
CCUACGGGAGGCAGCAGUGGGGAAUAUUGCACAAUGGGGGAAACCCUGAUGCAGCGACGCCGCGUGAGUGAAGAAGUAUUUCGGUAUGUAAAGCUCUAUCAGCAGGGAAGAUAAUGACGGUACCUGACUAAGAAGCCCCGGCUAACUACGUGCCAGCAGCCGCGGUAAUACGUAGGGGGCAAGCGUUAUCCGGAUUUACUGGGUGUAAAGGGUGCGUAGGUGGCAGGGCAAGUCAGAUGUGAAAGCCCGGGGCUCAACCCCGGUACUGCAUUUGAAACUGUCCAGCUGGAGUGCAGGAGAGGUAAGCGGAAUUCCUAGUGUAGCGGUGAAAUGCGUAGAUAUUAGGAGGAACACCAGUGGCGAAGGCGGCUUACUGGACUGUAACUGACACUGAGGCACGAAAGCGUGGGGAGCAAACAGGAUUAGAUACCCCAGUAGUC